GUGGAUAUGAUCGAAUGGUAAAAAUUUUCUUUGCCAAGGAGAGGAUGCGGGUUCGAUUUUCGCUAUCCACC
rfam:Capsicum annuum cultivar Zunla-1 unplaced genomic scaffold scaffold949, whole genome shotgun sequence